rnacentral:rRNA from 1 species
GCGGACGGCUCAGUAACACGUAGUCAACCUAACUCGUGGACGUGGAUAACCUCGGGAAACUGAGAAUAAACCACGAUAGAUCAUAGUGCCUGGAAUGGCUUAUGGUCCAAACAGUUUACUGCCAUGGGAUGGGACUGCGGCCUAUCAGCUUGUUGGUGAGGUAAUGGCCCACCAAGGCGAUUACAGGUACGGGCUCUGAGAGGAGAAGCCCGGAGAUGGGUACUGAGACACGGACCCAGGCCCUAUGGGGCGCAGCAGGCGAGAAACCUUAGCAAUGUGCGAAAGCACGACUGGGUCAGUCCGAGUGAUUCCUGAUAAAGGAGUCUUUUGCUUGUCCUAAAAGCACAGGUGAAUAAGGGGUGGGCAAGUCUGGUGUCAGCCGCCGCGGUAAUACCAGCACCUCGAGUGGUCAGGACGUUUAUUGGGCCUAAAGCAUCCGUAGCCGGCUUUGCAAGUCUUCGGUUAAAUCCACCUGCUCAACAGAUGGGCCGCUGGAGAUACUACAGAGCUAGGGAGUGGGAGAGGCAGACGGUAUUCAGUGGGUAGGGGUAAAAUCCUCUGAUCCAUUGAGGACCACCAGUGGCGAAGGCGGUCUGCCAGAACACGUUCGACGGUGAGGGAUGAAAGCUGGGGGAGCAAACCGGAUUANAUACCCGGGUAGUCCCAGCUGUAAACGAUGCAAACUCGGUGAUGCAUUGGCUUAUGGCCA